UAAGGAAUAUUGGUCAAUGGGCGCAAGCCUGAACCAGCAACGCCGCGUGGAGGAAGAAGGGUUUCGGCUCGUAAACUCCUUUUAGGUGGGAAGAGCAAGGACGGUACCACCUGAAUAAGUCUCGGCUAACUACGUGCCAGCAGCCGCGGUAAAACGUAGGAGACGAGCGUUAUCCGGAUUUACUGGGCGUAAAGCGCGUGCAGGCGGUUAGAUAAGUCACUUGUGAAAGCGCCCGGCUCAACUGGGCGAGGCCGUGUGAGACUGUCUAACUUGAGAGAGGUAGAGGCGAAUGGAAUUCCGGGUGGAGUGGUGAAAUGCGUAGAGAUCCGGAGGAACACCAGUGGCGAAGGCGAUUCGCUGGGCCUACUCUGACGCUCAGACGCGAUAGCAUGGGGAGCGAACGGG
rnacentral:rRNA from 1 species